GGUGCCCAUAGCUGCUAAGAGCAGACAACAGGUGUAAAUCAACAGCUUUAUAGGUUGCUUUCACGGUCCAGGCAAUGAUGUGAACAAGAGCUAUCGAAUGCUCAGGGAUGAAGAUGCCUGCUGGGACCCUUACACCUGCUGCUGAAACUGAGAAGAGGGUGGGAUUUUGGCCAUGUCUCUGUGUAGUGAAUACCCUGUUUGCUCCAUCUAAAUAGCUCA